AGCUCUGUCGCCAGGCUGGAGUACAGUGGCGCAAUUGUAGCUCAGUGCAGCCUCGCCCUUCUAGGCUGAAGCGAUCCUCUCACCUCAGCCUUCUGUGCCCGGCUGAUUUUUUUAUUUUUUGUAGAGACAAGGUCUCACUUUGUUGCCCAGGCUGGUCUCAAACUCCUGAGCUCAAGCAAUCCUCCCACCUUAUCCUCCCAAAGUGUUGGAUUACAAGCAUUAACCACUGCACCUGGCCUCUGUUCCAAUUUUUGAAACAUUAAAAAUUAUUCUGCUUCUUCCAGGGGUUCUACGUGAUAUUCUCUGUUUUAUUUUGCUAGUUUCCUUUUUAUUUUGUGGGUGGUUGUAUACUGAAGUCUUCCUAUAAUACUAGUUAUUGUGAUAAACGUUUUAUGUACAUUCUUUUUUUUUCUUUUUCUUUUUUUUUUUGAGACGGAGUUUUGCUUUUGUUGCCCAGGCUGAAGUGCAAUGGUGUGAUCUCGGCUCACCACAACCUCCACCUCCCAGGUUCAAGCGAUUCUCCUGCCUCAGCCUCCCCAGUAGCUGGGAUUACAGGCAUAUGCCACCACGCCUGGCUAAUUUUAUAUAUUUAAUAGAGACAGAGUUUCUCCAUGUUGGUCAGGCUGGUCUUGAACUCCCAAUCUCAGGUGAUCCACCCGCCUCGGUCUCCCAAAGUGCUGGGAUUACAGGCAUGAGCCACCGUGCCUGGCCUUAUGUACAUUCUUUCAUGUAAUCUUUAUAGCAACCCUUUCAUGGUGUUUUUGUGUUAUUGUUCUCACUGUGUGGAUGAAGAAACUGAGGCUUGAAGAAGUUAACAAACGUUCCUGGGUCUGUCUGACACUAACCCCUUUGCCCUUCAUUACUACACUUACCUGGCCUGUCAGCAGAAAGGUCCCUAGGGCCUUAGGUUACCCUAGUAUCCUGCCCCAGAAUUACCCAGUGAGUAGAAUACCAAGGUUUGUCUGGACCAAAAAUAAGAGAAACAACCUUUGGGAGGCCGAGGCAGGCAGAUCACGAGGUUAGGAGUUCAAGACCAUCCUGGCCAACAUGGUGAAACCCUGUCUCUACCAAAAAUACAAAAAUUAGCUAGGCAUGGUGGCACGUGCCUGUAAUCCCAGCUACUCGGGAGACUGAGGCAGAGGAAUUGCUUGAACUGGGACCCAGGAGGCAGAGGUUGCAGUGAGCUGAGAUCGUGCCACUGCACUCCAGCCUGGGCUACAGAGCAAGACUCUGUCUCAAAAAAAAAAAAAAAAAAAAAAAAAAGAAACAACCAUGUGACACGGGGCACAACUCUGUCUGAUUGAGGAACCAUCCAUUGUAUUAGGGUCACAUGUGUAAUACAUUCCCUGAGAGUUUAAUGCAGGGAAAAAUUUGUCUCUCCCAAAUCACUGGCCUGAUUCUUCCAACCAUAUCACAGCAAUAGCUAAUUCUUCUAUACGAUUUACCAUGUAACAGGCCUGUUAUGAGAAUGAAAUAUGCAGCUGGGCGCGGUGGCUCAUGCCUAUAAUCGCAGCACUUUGGGAGGCUGAGGCAGGUGAAUCACUCGAAUCAGGAUUUCGAGACCAGCCUGGCCAACAUGGUGAAACCCUGUCUCUACUAAAAAUACAAAAAUUAGCCAGGCGUGGCAGCAGGUGCCUGUAAUCCCAGCUACUCAGGAGGCUGAGGCAGGAGAAUUACUUGAACCUGGGAGGCAGAGGUUGCAGUGAGCUGAGAUUGCACCACUGCACUCCAGCCUGGGCGACAGAGCGAGACUCCACCUCAAAAAACAAAACAAAAUGAAAAAAAGAACUAAAUAUGUCUGAAGUCAUUUAAUCCUUCCAGGGACCCUAAGAAAGGGGUUUAUUAUUAUAUUAUCCUGUUUUUCAGAAGAAGCAACAGAAGCACAGAGAAAUUAAACAACUACUUAAGGUCGUGUGACUAGUAAGUGGUAGAGUUGGGUUUCAAAACAAUGUAAUUUGCCUCCAGGGUCUGUGUAUUCAAUCACAUGUUUACUACUUCCUACACAGUUUGUAACUCAUCCUGGUUCCCUCUUUGCUUUGACUGCCAGGAAACUCAGAACCAUGAUUUGUUUGUUCUUCACAGUUACUAUCCUUAGAAAACUCAGCCCACCAUUUCUACCCUAAUUAGUCCGUAUUUCAUCUUUCUUUCCUUUUUCCCCACUGGCCUUUGAGCCAGGCUUUUAUCGCUCCCGAAUUCUUGUUCUUUAAUUAUCAGUCAAAUGGUCUCGAGGCUGCAAUGAAACUACCUUGAAACCCUUUUUGGAAAACACAUUACAUAAGACAUCAGAUGAACAGAGAUGGCUUCUGACCAGCUGAGGCAGUUGGACACAGUUGAAGAUGUCUUUUGAGCAUCUUUCGUGUAACCAGCACUGUGCUCUGUCAUGUGGAGGAUACAACAGUGAGCCCAAGGUAGUCCCAUACUAGUUAUGCCAACUGCUAUGAUAGAUAAAUCCUGAAAUCGCAACGCCUAAAUACAAUAGAAAUUAGUUCAAUGUGUGCCCCCCUCAGUCAAGUGAUGAGUGAGACCCAGGUUGACUAAGGCUCUGCCCCGUUCAACUUGUAGCUUCCAAGGGCCCCCUGGUGUUGACAUCUGAUUGGCAGAUGAGAGAAAAGAGCUUUGAGCAAGCAUACAUCCUUCUUCACCACUUUGGCCAGGACAUGGCAUUCAUGUUCUCUGCCCAUAUCCCACUGGUGAACACGAGUUAUGUACCUAAUUAGCAAGGAGUGCUGGAAAAUGUAGUCUGGCUGCUUUUCUCAGAAACAACUCUACACGUGGAAGGGGAACAGCUUUGAUGAACAGCUGACCUUGUCCCAGUUUACGAGGAACUUAAAAUUAUUGAACCGUCUACCCUUAUAGAAUGGCUAAGAAUACCAUGCAAUAUGUAAUGUGGCCACAGGGAGGAAAAUGGCCUGGCCUUGUUUACAAGAAACCACGGACAAAAAAAGGAGCAUUUAAGGCUGGGCACAGUAGCUCGUGCCUGUAAUCCCAGCACUUUUGGAGGCCAAGGUGGGUGGAUCACCUGAGGUCAGGAGUUUGAGACCAGCCUGAUCAACCAAUGAAACCCUGUCUCUACUAAAAAUACAAAAUUAGUCGGGUGUAGUGGCACACGCCUGUAAUCCCAGUUACUUGGGAGGCUGAGGCAGGAGAAUCACUUGAACCCGGGAGGCGGAGUUUGCAAUGAGCCAAGAUCAUGCCAUUGCACUCCAGCCAGGGCUAUAAGGCGAAACUCCGUCUCAAAAAAAAAAAGGAGCAUUUACGUUUAAACCAAAUCUAUUUGUCCAACAAGGGAAUGGGAUGGGGGUGUGGAGAGGGGGAGAGUUUAUCAUGAUAGUGAGUAUUCAGGCAGAGGCUAAGUUUUCACUUGGCUGAAGGCUCUAGAAAGGGUGACGUGACAGAUGCCUCCUAUCAGUCCUUCUAAGUGUGAACUUCCAUGUAAGGUUCCCUUAGUCACCUCUGAGCACUUACUUUGUGUCAAGUUCUCGGUAAGGCUCUGAGGACCCAGAAACAAAUGAGACAAGGUCAUGGUUACUCAACUGAAGUGCUGAAGCAGGAUAGAGAAAGGCUGAGCUCUGGAAACAGGAGGCUGGAGUUUAAUUCCUAGCUCUGUUAUUUCGUAGCUGUGCAUCACUGGAGAUGCCACUUGGCCUCUGGUUCUGUUUCCUCAUUUAUGAACUAGGAACAACAGUUAUCUUCAUAGAUUACAGGAACCCAAUGACAAAAAACACCUGGAGUAUUUGUAGCACAGUGCCUGGUAUGUAGUAAGCAUGUUAUUUUAUUAGUAGUAAUAUUUUUAUGAUGACCUUGGAUAAGUCACUUCAUUUUUCAAAGCCUCAGCUUUCUCAUCCAUAGGAUGGAGUUAACACUGACAUCAUGGGGUUGGAAUCUUGCUGUGUCGUGGGGUCGGGAGCUGCCAUUUCGUCUCUCCGCUUCCUCCUGGGAUAAGUGGGUCGCAUCAUGCCCACUUGAUCGCGGACGGAAAGCAGCCCCGUUCAGCGCAAAGGAGGAACCUGAAUUAACAAGGACGCGAUUUCCUGGCUGCGCUCCCGGGGUAGGAGGUUUGCGCUGGGUCCCAUCCCCCGGCCGGUCCUGCUCAGGAAACGCGGAGAGAAAGCCAGGAACCAGGCCUGCCAGGCCCUGCGGCCCCUCAGCGCCGUCCCUCCUCCCCGGCCCUCGGCUGCAGGAAGCCGGCUGGCGGGAACGCCCUGCCUGGUGGGUGGGAAAGGCCGAGAGCGCGCCCGGCACCGGCGGCUUCCCAGGCCCGCGGCCGGCUGGCGGCGCGGAGCUGUCACUGCGGCAAACGGCGAACGCGCCGGCCCCCUCCCCCGCCGCCCGCAAGCCUGGUGCAGUCGGCCCAUGAGUAUUUCAUGAAGUGCCGCAGCCGGAUUCAUGGCUCACUGGCGCAGGAGGGGAGAGAGGCUGAGUCCUGUCAAGCGCCAGCGCCCCACCCGUCACGGAGCGCACGCCGCGGGGGCCAGGCUGGGGAGGGAAGGGUGUCCAGCCCUCUCUUUUGGGUGGUGAGAUGCUGAGGCCUGAGGGUUUCUAGGUGAGUGUUCAAGGUCAUGGCUAGUAAACGGCAGGGCCAGGAUGCAACUCGGGGUCUGUUUCAUCCUAAAGUUUGUGCCUCGGGUCUGUGGUUCUGCUCCAGGUUUUUGGGGUGUUUGGGGGGCGGGGGUUACGUUCUUGCCGCACCUCAAGAACCAGAGUUCUGUACCCUGGGGCUACCGAUGUCCUCUCGGUCUUGAGAUCUCUCUGGGGAUUUGAGCUGUUUAUGGGGUCCUGGUGUCUCUUUCUGAGGUUCUGACAUCUCACUAUAAGGUCGGAUGGUCCUCCAUGGAAUGAAUUCUAAACCUGGGCCUCAGAAUGCCUAUGAACUCCCUGAAAUUGUAUGCAAGAUUUUGUGGGUCUGUCUGUAUACAUGGAAUUCUGGAGACAGGUUUCAUGGAUUUCACUAGAUUCUUAAAAGAAUCUGUGAUCCCCCAAAAGCUGGGAAAAAAUAUUGCUUUAGAGCAUUCAUUUGGACAGGUCUUACUCCUUUCUCGUCAAUAAAAGUCAAGGAAGUAGGGGGCUGGGCUAUGGUGGGUCACACCUGUAAUCCCAGCACUUUUGGGGAGGCUGAGGUGGGCAGAUCAUUUGAGGUCAAGAGUUCAAUACCAGCCUGGCCAACAUGGUGAAACCCCGUCUCUACUAAAAAUACAAAAAUUAACUGGGUGUGGUGGCGCACGCCUAUAAUCCCAGCUACUCGGGAGGCUGAGGCAGGAAAAUCACUUGAACCCAGGAGGUGGUGGUUGCAGUGAGCCCAGAUCAUACCACUGCACUCCAAAAAAAGUCAAGGAAGUAAAAGGUGGAGGAAAUAAAAGACAGAUAAGAGACAGUGUUUUCUAGUAGAGUAUGGGCUUUGUACUCAGGCAUUCCUGGGUUAAAAUCCCAAUUUUGCCACUUACCAGCUGUGUGACCUUGAGCAUGUUCCUUACCCUCUCUGAGGCUCCAUGCCACCUCUUCUAGGAAGCCUUCUCUGGCUCCUCAAUUCAGUUAGGUCCCCACCCUGCAUUCCCCCAAUCCCUCCUGGCAUAUCACCUGAUUCUUUGCAGCACUUAAUGGAAUUGUUAUUAAGUAAUUGUGUUUAAUGUUGUCCUGUUUCUCCACUCCUCCAGUCCAGGAAACUUGGGACUUUUGCUGUAUUACAGUCUGUGUAGUGCCUGGCACAUGUUAGGCACUCAGCCAUUUCUUAUGAAAUGCAUAAAAAUGUAAAGGAAUGGAGGGAUGCAGGCCAGACACUGUACUAGGGACAGAAAGGGAUCAGAAAUUAAUAAG
rnacentral:lncRNA from 1 species